UAGAAUCUUCUGUGAUGUCACCAGUGUUGUGGUGACGACCGCCUGUGAGCUACAGAGUCUGCUGGGAAAGCAUCGACCCAAACUUCCACCAUCACUGAGCGGGAAGAGAGAAUGAAGAGGUUGGGGAAUCUGAUAAUUGAUCUCUAGAAGAUGAUCUGUGAGAGGGAUGAACUUCAUUCAGUCUUGACCCAUUACACCAAAAAGGAUUUGAACCACAGGUCUGAAAUACUCCGGCAGAAGAUCAAACAGGGCAUAGACAAGUGCUCUCUCAGACAGAACUCUUCAAGGGGAGCACUGGGUGUGCAAAGCAAGUGAACCAUCAUUGCAUCUCAUCCCUGUAACCAUGGCAAUUUUGGGCUGCAUUUCCUUUCUUCACUUUGGUUUACUAUUUGUGAAUAGGCCUUGGCUUUGUCUAGCCUCUGACCCAUCAAUAGUGCUUCUGGGUCCGAUUGCCUUUCCUUCUCUGACAGAACCCUUGAGAGAACUGUGGAGGGGGAAAGAAUGCCACUGACAACUUGGAGCACAACAUUCUCUGCACUAGGAUCAAAGCCUCCUCAGAAAAAGUUACCUCCUUAGAGAUGUGAACUCAACAGGGAGGCAAAUACCAACUGAUGUCUGGUAAAGCAGUCAGAAUCUGAGCCACUUGUCUGUUGGCUAACUACUCCAUGGGGAAAGAAAAUUAGAUCAAGAUACAUAAAACUAGGACUCACAUGAAGACCAAGCUGCACAUCUGCUACACAUCUGGGAGGCCUAGGUGCAGCCUGUCUAUGUUCUUUGGUUGAUGGUUCAGACUCUGAGAGACCCAAGGGUCCAGCCUGCCAUCCCAGGGGACUUCCAUUCUCCUGCUGCCUCUCCUCUACCUCCAUCAGACUCCUGAACCAUACAGUUUUCAGAACAAUCAACACUUGCUGAGUUUUUGGAAAAAAUAGAGUCCAAGGAUCCCAUAAACUGUUCAACAUGAAGCCCUAAUUCCAGUGGAAAGAAUAAUGGUGAAUUUUAUGUGGUUAAUCUGUGCCGAGAGGUUUCAGCAAAUGGUGUAAUUUGAGGUAAUUCGGUGUUAAAGAAGCAUGUGAAAGAUUAGUGCUAACUUUGAAGAUGUAUGCUCCUAAAAUAUGCAGCAUGAGUUACCAAAGACUGAUCUAGACACCCAUCUAUAGCCUAUAAACCACUGACUUGAUCUCUGUUGUGUGUGGCAUUCAGGAUUUAUCCAGGAUAUGAAGUGUAUACUCCACAAGUAAGCUAAAUCCAGUGUCAAUGAGAGAAUUUACGAUUCAUAUUCCUCUCUUGAUAAAACAUUCUAUGAAUGGUGGCUGCUUACAUUUUAAAAUUUAAGAAUGACCUGAAAACACUAACAGUUGAAUCUCACUGUGUAAACACAUUUCGGAGAUGUCUUCUGGCUCAAUUUUGACCCCGUGUGCCUGCAGUUGCUCAGUUCUAAGGCUGUGAGAUUAUACCAGGUCAUUCUUGCAUAUAACUGUCUAGGGACAGGAAGAGCUUUGAGAAUUCUUAAAGCUGAGAAUCUAAGAAUCUUCACUGUAAGAAGCUUAAAGUGAAAAGCACAGACUUGGGAAUGGACAAAGCCUUCAGUUCAUAAAACUGAGCAGCCAGUUCAGAGCCAAGGAGAACUCUAUCCAGACAAGCACUGUUAUGUGCAGGAUAUGUUAGUAAAAUAAAAAAAAAAAAAA
rnacentral:lncRNA from 1 species